GUGAAGGCGAUGAUGUUGAGAACUACCUAUUUUAUGAGGGAAUGGAAAAUCGUCCCUUGUGAUUAGAAAUUACCAAUGGAUCCUUCUGAGCCUUUUU